AGUCCGCAGCCGCCGUCCAGCACGCAGGUUACGCCGGAGCACAGGAGCGGGAGCCGGAGGCCCGAGGCCCGAGCUGCCAGGGCGGCGCACGCUCACCCGCGCGGACUGGGCCGCGUCCGUUCCCGCUCGGGCCGCUCCGGUCCAGGCUCAGGGCCGAGUUUCCGGCCGAGUAGCCGGGAAAAUCUGCAAUCCCAGCCAGGGUUUGAGGGCCCCGCGCCUGCGCACGGCGGGAGGCGGAACUUCAUCUGGCCACGCCCUCACGGUGACGCGCUGCGGAGGGCGGUGCACAGGGUAGCGGGCAGAUGUGGGAAUCCUUUUGGAAGGCUCUAGCGUGGAGUAGGCUGGUGAGAAAGGAUUGCCAGGAAGGGCGGGGCCCGCCACGCUUAGAAAGUGGGAAGUUUGAGUGGGCCAGGAAAACCUCCUCCUGUCAGCUACUGAGAAUAACUCGAGAAUCCGAGCAACUUGAUAUGGCGUAGUUAAUAUGCCAAAUAUUCAUAGCUGCAGCACUCCGCCCCGCGCUGUGUAAACCAAAACUAAAACCAACCUUCAAAGUCUCCCUAGUUCCAACGGGUGGCCUUCGCUUUGCCAACUUCUGGAACAGCCUGACGGGUCCCAGGACUUGCACUUGUGUUGGGGUGGGGAGGAAGUUGGACAGGAGAAGCAGGGAAAUAGAGAUGAAGGUCAGAGCACAACGUUGGGAAGCCAGUUCUCUCUGCCUUGGUGAGGCAGCAUCUCUUGUUUCUGCUGUGUUGUGCAUUCCACAUAGGUCAGUGCCUCAUUCUGCCAUCAUCAGAGAAAGUUUUCUCCAGAGAGAGCGAGACAGAGACAGAGACUCAAUCUCCAUCAAACCCCUCUUCUCAGGGCUCAGAGAGCCAGGGAGAAGAGACAGAAAGAUUGUAAGAACCAGAUAUGACCCUAGGAAAACAAUGUCUUCCAGACACAACAGCACUGAGACACAUAUAUGAACUCCUAGAAAUAGGAUGCUCAGGGCCUGAAUAGGUUCAAGACAGAUGGAGUCCUAGAACAGAGAAGCAAGAAGACAUGAGCUCCUAUUCCUAAGAAGCUGUCUCCAACUGAUACCUGCUUGCAAAGAAAAAAAUAACUUUCUCCAUUGGAGUCUCACAGGGUGUACAAGCCAGCCACCCUUAACAGUAUGUCCCAUGCCCAGCAGUGGAUGACCAGAUCAAUGGUAUUUUAUUUGCGUGUAUGUCUGUAAACCAUAUGUAUACAGUGCCCACAGAGGCCAGAAGAGGAUGUUAGAACCCCUACAACUGGAGUUACAGAAGGUUGUGAGCUACCAUGUGGGUGCUGGGAAUGGAACGUGGGCCUGGAAGAGGAGCCAGUGUUCUUAAUCACUGAAACAUCUUCUCCAGCCCCUAUGUUUUCAGUUUUAAAGUUGACUUUGAAAAGAAUCAGACUCUGAAAAGUUUUGACGAAUGAAGCAUCCAUGUUCUUCACGUGGGCACAGUUCGUAUGCUUGGAACAGGAUUUGUGUUGUUGAACAGUGUGAGAAUACAGUAUAGCAUCCAAAGGCAAAGCUGUUCUUUCACAUAUCCACAGAACAAUGCUCAAAUUUAGGUAAUUUAACAAUGAAGCAAUACUAUGGCUGUGAUUCAGUCUCUAUUUAAAAUUUGCCAGUUGUAGUCUAAGGCAGGCUCUCCCUCCCCAGCCCAGGCUGGAUUGAAACUCUAAACACUGGGAUGCCAGGCCUGUUUCUCCACUCUGGGUUCUCUUCCUGCUUCCUUUAUGGAGUCUUUUGAUGAGUAAAACUUAACAAGUUUAAUGUACUUAGGUUUGUCUGUCUCUUCUUCUGUAGCUAGCAACUUUGAUGUCCAAAAAGCCUUGCAUAUCCUAAAACGAAGAUUUCUUUUCUUAGGAUUUUUGGGAAGUUUUGGUUUUCUUGUUUAUAGUUAAAUCAUGGCUCCACGUUGGAAUUAGUUUGUGUUUGCUAUGAAGUAAGGAUCGAGUUCUUGAUUAGAAUGGAGAGGAUUUGGACUUCAGUUGGCAAGAAGGUAGUUGUCUGAAUAGUAGUUAUUAACUAGGAUCUUUUUUCAAAUGACUAUCAAUGUUACAUCUGGGAUGUAUCAAUGUUUCAAAAUGC
rnacentral:lncRNA from 1 species